rnacentral:rRNA from 1 species
AGAGUUUGAUCAUGGCUCAGAAUGAACGCUAGCGGCGUGCUUAACACAUGCAAGUCGUACGAGAACUCUUUAGCUUGCUAAAGAUAGUAAAGUGGCGCACGGGUGAGUAACGCGUGGGUAAUCUACCUCUGAAUUUGGGAUAACUCUCGCGAAAGCGGGGCUAAUACCGGAUAAUAUUUCAGGAUUUUCGGGUCUUGAAAUCAAAAGUGGCCUCUACAUGUAAGCUACUGUUUGGAGAUGAGCCCGCGUACCAUUAGCUUGUUGGUAGGGUAAUGGCCUACCAAGGCUACGAUGGUUAGCUGGUCUGAGAGGAUGAUCAGCCACACUGGAACUGAUACACGGUCCAGACUCCUACGGGAGGCAGC